UCUUGAAGUGCGUAAUACUCGA
rnacentral:siRNA from 1 species